rnacentral:lncRNA from 1 species
AAAAUAAAAAAAGCUACCUUCGACAGCACUAAAAUGAACUGCCUCUAUGCUGCUAUGUCUGAGCUAUGUUCUUCUAUAAGAGACGCUGGCGUACUUCCAUGAUAUUGAUAUCAUUGGCCUCCACAACCGCGCCGUUAGUUCUGCUUUCUCGAGGCUGGAUAAGGAGUAUAGGAAAAGUCAUGGAAUAUAGUAGGACAAUACAUUUGAUAUUUAACAAAGGAUCAGUUGACGUAUUCUUUGAAAGAAGCAAAUUUGGCAAAAUAAAAGAAAUCUCCUAAACAAAACAUGCUAAAUUACCACAACAAGAAACGACAAUUUAAACAUUACAAUCCAGGACAAAUAGUGUAGGAGAAAGAAAAUAGAAGUGACAAGAAUACCCGCAGGUAUAUCAAAGAAACAGUUAAAGAAAAUCCCGAGACAAGUGUGAGAACACAUUAGGAUCUGUGCAUAAAUUCAUAACAGGAGUGCCAGACCAUGACGACCUAAUAGAAAUCAAAACGACUUCAAAUGAUAUAAUGAACAAUAAUAAUUUACAAAGGAAAACUUGAAAAUGACUAAAUGACUAAUGACUAAAUUUGAUAUCAAAAGAUUGAGUCACCAAACGGUAUUCAGGAAAUUUAUAAAGAACUAUUUGAUUUGACUAUUACAAUUAAUUUUGCUAAAAAUUAAAAUUUCUUCUGUUUCAAUAAACAAAGAAGAAAUAGAAAGAAUAAUGAAAGUCUAACAAGAAAAUAUUCCUGUAAUAAAUAUUCUAGAGUAUUCUGCAAUACAUAUUUUGAGAAUACGAGAUAAAUUUAUUGUAAUUUAUAAAUACCCAAUUAUUAAUAAACAACGUAAAAGACAUAAAGUUACAUCACUAUCAUACAAGCAUGGCCAGUAAGGAUUAAGACAUUUUAUCAGCAUGUAAAGGAUAUAGAAUGUUUAACUCGCGCGAGUUCCUCCUGGGGGACCGUUGGUGGUGCUCGCUACCUUCUCAGCUGCUGCACUCGACUUCGACUACAGUGCGUCGCUUCAUGAGACCAUGUCAUUAUCAACCUCUUUGGCAUGCUCCCCAAACAGCGACUGCUCCUCUGACGAGAGGAUAUAAGGAACCCUGCAACUACACUGGUUUUAUUGACCUUCUCCUCGACUAUGGUCGUUCUUUACGACCCUUGGCAUAACACGGCGAGCUGUCGGGUCUAUGUUUUUGUAGGGGAACGUGAAGGUCCGCUGCGCCAAAGCCCCAUAACGCGGUAAUGCCACCAUUACUUGCCAAUUCGGCCGGUGUUGGGAAGCUUCUGUUCAGUCGAAUUAACCUCCUGGCUGCAAAUCAUUCAAUGGGCAUGGGAGUUGCAUAACACCCUGGAUUUGGAUGUGGUACUCUUCGUCUCAACCCUCAUGAGUGAUGCCAUGUUGCACCGCUCAUGGCGGAUAUACAUUGCAGUUAAGCUCCUGCACCACAACAAGGUACUUAUAAUUCAGAGAGAAGUAAACAUAGUAUAGUCAACCACGACAUCUACCCAAUGUCCCCGCAUAAGAUAAAAAACAAGUCUUACACCGCGACAUAAGGUUUUUGUACUCUAAGUUUGUAUAUGCUUAGUGCUGCCCGCACUAAGUUUGUAAAUGAAUUUAUUAUUUCUUCAAGACACAAUCAUCUAAUACGAAAAAAAAACAAUAAUAUUUCAUUAACAUUCUAGUGCUAACCAGAUAUGGUAUGAAUGAUUAAGAACUGCGAACUAGGGUUAUUUUAAUUCCAUCAGCGCAAUACCUUCCAUGUUGAUAUUUUAGUUCUUGUAGAAAUUGUUUUAUAUACAGUAAAUACAUGUUAAAAAAUAUGUUGGAAUUGUAAUGCAGGUAUAUAUUCUUCCUUACUGGCGUGGAAACCGUUUACGCGGUUAUAAACGAGUUUACAGCAGCGCGUCGCUUCUUCCUUUCGCAAGGUGCCGCAAAUUGGAGAUUCCAAGCGAAGCCACGUUCUUCUCCAUGUGGUCCUUCCAACGAAGUGGAGGUCUACUUCUUCCUCUACUUUUCCCGGCGGGGAACAGUUUCUCCAGUCACUUCAAACCAGAACAAUAAAUGUAUCAGAUUUUUCAAGUGUUUGCUUUUAGUUCAUCAACGCGGAGGCUUUUAAGACAUUAAUAGGUAUGAAUGGCAUAAAUAGUCAAGGCAUUGCGAUGAGUCCGUUGACGGAAUAAAUGUAAAAAGUGAACGAUUUGCCAAUGUCUGAAGGUGAUAAGAAAAAACUUGACGAAUAUAUUGAAGAAAUUUACAAUAAAGUGGGAGAAUUCGCGGGCGAAUUUAACAACAUUGAGUGUGCUGGACUUUGCUACUAAAUAUAAAGUAGCAUUAACGACAGUUGUGUACCAAAUGCUCAUUCGACAUUGCCUUAUUCAAACGUCAUAAUCAUGUUGAAAGCGGUAGCACCUAUACAAUAAAUAUGAUGAAAAAAUUUGCAUAUCUUAAUUGGAUGAAUGUCAGCUGGAGUGUAUCUAAUAAUAUUUGCAAAUUUCGGAGAAGAAAUCUCAAGUCAGAUCCAAUCACUGUUAUUAUUAUAUUUAAAUAACUCAAUACUAAUUGUUUUAAAUCAUCUAAUUUAAAAUGUUAUUAUUAGUUUGGCUAAUAUACAUACAUACAUAUGUACAAAUUGUGUGAAUAUUAAGAAAUAGUAAAUUAAUGUAUUUAGUAUUGUAAAUUGUACGUAGUAUAACAAUGUAAACCAAGAAUGAUAGAAUAUAAGAUUACGACACUA